AAAGAAUUCCUUCCUAACUCUUUAACCAAAAAUUUUACUAAAAUCCACCUCAGAAAGAAGGGUAUUGUCUUGGGAAGGAAGAACAGCAGCAGGAGUGAAGUACCUGGACCUGACCAGAUCCAUAUGAUCUCUUCCCUGUUCUCUCCUUCUCGUUCUGUCCCUCAAGAGCUCCUCAUUUGCAGUUCCAAGGGCCAACAUGGGAAGUGUCAGCACUUUCAAAGCAUGAAGGAUUUGGAAAUGCCAGAUUUUGUUUCAGCUGGGAAUGAAAUUUGGGGCUCUGCUUUACACUGAUUUGCUUUAAUCCCAAAAAUCUCCAGGACAUGGAGUUGUAUUUCUUCUACCAGUCUAAAUUCUCAAGUUCUGGGACUUCCGAGGAGUGAAGCAAAGGGGGCUGAUGUUAUCCGUUAGAAGAGCCCAGAUAGAGACAUUAUCCUGCUUUUAUGAAAGCCAAAGGCCAAAUUCAUAUUUAUUUGAGCUGCAGCAGGAUCUGGCUUAUAUCCUGGACAUUACAACAUACUGUUCCAAUCUCUAUUUUUAUUAGCAAUAUUGAUAACGUUAGAAGAAAUACGAUACAGGAAAUAGCAUAUCGACUUUGAUUAAUUUUACAGUACGACCUUUAACGAACAUAAAGGAAGAAUUCAGCAAAGGGCUGGAGCUAAAAGUGUUGCUGGUGAAGGGAGACAUGUGGUACCUGCAUGUCCUGAGUGGGGCAGCUGGAUAUUCAACAUUUAUUGCCCUCUAUGGAAGAAAAAUUGUUGAUAAUCAAAUUUUUUGAAGACUGCAUUCUCAUCUUUAAGUUUAUUAACACUUCCAAACAUAAUGGUUUGCUGCAAGAAAUGAAGGUCCAAGGGCAAAGGAUGCAGCUGCUCAUUCUGGUGGACGAGGAGCUGAGGGCAGAAUCCACCCCUGGAGCAUCAGCUGAGUACUUUCAGCAGUGACUCCAAGUCACCAAAAAGUCCCUGACUGGUUUCUUCCCCUCGAGCCGAAGGUUUUAUUUGAGGCCUGACUGGAAGCAGAUGGACCUGUCAGGGCUCCUCAGGCAGCCCCAACCUCAGCAGAUCAAAUGUAAACCGAGGCACUUCCAUCGCAAAAAGCGACAUCCGAUGCUCCCUCCAUGCCUUUGGCUUCUCCAAUAGAUGGAUUAAAUUUGGGUGAAACCAGAGAGUAAACUGCACUUUGAUUAAAAAUAUUAUUGCCGAAUAUUCUGUCUCCUUGGAUUUUAAAUCCACCCCCGUGUCUGAGCACCAAGCCCAUCCCAUGUCCCGGCGCUGGGCAUGGACACGGCACCUCUGGACUGGCGGAUUUUACGUGAUGAGUGCUACAAACAGGCUCAGAUAUUCCCAAAUAACUUCAAACUCCUCUUGCGAAAGGUCAAAUGACUAAUAGCUGAGAUUGUUCAGCAAGUUUCAUCUUCUAAAAAAACCCUUUGUUUUUCUCCCUGUUCCCAUUUAAAAAUAGCACUGUAAUCCUGAGGUGCUGUUUGUAUUUGCCCACUAAGUCCAAAGAACUGUGAACUUUGAAUUGGCCACGAGUUUUCCUAUAAUAUUUGUGGCAAGAAAUACAAAGCAUUACAUGAUGGAAUUGUAUUGACAGGCACAAGGGCUUGCUUGAAAUAUUGACCUUAGUUUGCCCAGUUUCACAUUUAAUAAAUCAUAUUGAUUAACCUGAUUUAUUCUCUUGAGUUCUGCCACUCAUCUCCCACUAGCAGCUGUUUUACAAAGGACCCCGAGAGUGCAGAGUGCAGGUUAGCUACUUUUGGGGGCACAUUUAUUUCAAUAUCCAUGCAAACCCAUCUAUUUUAUAGUGCGACUGAAUCAGCUGAGUCACCAUUGUGGAUGUGGAAAAUAUCCCUAAGCCAGAAGGGCCAGGGAGCUCGGUCUGCUCUGAGGUGGCCUUGGUGGCACAGAGAGCUUGAAAACACAACCCAAAUCCUUUUUAUUUCUUAGACUUGAUUUCAUUCCUUUUGGAAGGAUAAAAGCAGGAGGUGAAGGCAAAGAAAAUGGAAAUAACCCUCAGAUAACCUGAAUCAAGCCAUUCCUCUCACGACGUGCUGAUCUCUCACUCAGACAAAUUGAUAUUUUGAAAUAUCAAUUUGCCUGAUGAGCACCCUCCCAAAGUGUGGCACCCCUGGGACAGGCUCAGACCUUGCAGGGACCGAGCUCUGGGUGUGUUUCCAUGUGGCUGCAAUGAGGGAGGGUGGUGAAACCUGGGAUCCUACGGGACCCACGGAGGCGCUUUGAGAUCCAGCUCAAUUCCACUGGAAUCUGCCGAGCAUCAUUCCUGGUGCAGCAAAUCACUGCACCAAAAAUAUCUCUCCCAGUCAUUAUCAGUCACAUUUUUAACCAGACACUGAUUUACUGGAUUACAGCUCAUGGCCAGCAACUCUGGAAUAUCUUAUGCAACCGCAAAUAUUUGGAAAAUUGGAAGUUCCCUGUUGCACAAAUCCGUGACUGAUCAGGAAGAGCCUUCCAGCUCCCCAGGAGUGCAACCACAUGUGGGGGCUGGGUCGUGGUCACUCAGCUGGACAGAGCCCAGCCAGGGCCAGCAGUGGACUUGCCAUGGGAAUUCAGUCACCACCAAUGCUGGAAAUAAGGACUCCCAAGGAAAAAAAAACAACCACUUUUUCUUUUUUUAAUAAAAAUAGUGAGAUAAACUGCUAAGAAACAGCCCGAGAAAGCAGGUUUGUUCAUUUUUACAGUUGUACAGACCAUU